UCUCCGUUGGUGAACCAGCGGAGGGAUCAUUACCGAGUUUACAACUCCCAAACCCCUGUGAACAUACCAUUUGUUGCCUCGGCGGUGCCUGCUUCGGCAGCCCGCCAGAGGACCCAAACCCUUGAUUUUAUACAGUAUCUUCUGAGUAAAUGAUAAAAUAAAUCAAAACUUUCAACAACGGAUCUCUUGGUUCUG
rnacentral:misc_RNA from 1 species